rnacentral:lncRNA from 1 species
GUUUAAAAUUUAGAAGGAUAUUUUGAUAAUUUCGGAAUAAAUUUCAAAAUUUUGAAUUGUAGUUAGGGAUAGAAAAUUGCAACUUUAUUUAUAAAAUUAUGUUUAAUAAAAGGCUAAAUUAUAGAAGAUUUUUUUUUAAAUAUCCACUUUUUCACUUUUACUCCUUGACUUUCAAAAAUUUACAUUUUACUCUCUUAAUUUUUCAAGCUGUUGGAUUAAGCCCCCCUUAAUUCGUCCGGUUCCAUCAUUAUUUUAUUUAUUUUUUAUAAUUUACCUCAAAAAUAUCCUUUAAUUUUUUUUUUAUAGAAAAAAUAAAGAUAAUUUGAUCAUUUUGUCCUCUCUAUUAACACCGUACUUUUUUACAAAUAUUUCUAAAAUUUUAAAAAGAUAAAAUAUAAAUUUUUUAAAAGUAAGAAAAAAAUAAAAAGUAAAUAUUUAUAAAAUUUGUUUUUGUAAUUU